GCGAGGUAGCUCAGUUGGUAGAGCACCUGAUUGAAAAUCAGGGGGUCACCAGUUCAAGUCUGGUUCUCGCC
rnacentral:tRNA from 1 species